ACACACAUUGACAGACAUACUGACACACACACACUGACAGGAAUACUGACACACAUUGACAGACAUACUGGCACACACACACUGACAGGCAUACUGGCACACACACACACACAUGCAAUAUUUACAAUUAGUCACCUUCCAGGUUCUUACCUUUAAUUGGAGGUUGGUUUCCCUGGGAUCCAGUGGCAGGCUGAGGCAGUUGGGGGUUAGGCUCUUGCACUACUGGCCUGGCCCACUCCUCACUACCUUCCUCCUCCUGCGCGGCUCUGAUCUCUGUGAGAGGAACUGACACGCGGCUGUCACUUCCAG